GCGGACGGGUGAGUAAUGCUUGGGAAUCUGGCUUAUGGAGGGGGAUAACUGUGGGAAACUGCAGCUAAUACCGCGUAUUCUCUGAGGAGGAAAGGGUGGGACCUUAGGGCCACCUGCCAUAAGAUGAGCCCAAGUGGGAUUAGGUAGUUGGUGGGGUAAAGGCCUACCAAGCCUGCGAUCUCUAGCUGGUCUGAGAGGAUGACCAGCCACACUGGAACUGAGACACGGUCCAGACUCCUACGGGAGGCAGCAGUGGGGAAUAUUGCGCAAUGGGGGGAACCCUGACGCAGCCAUGCCGCGUGAAUGAAGAAGGCCUUCGGGUUGUAAAGUUCUUUCGGUAAUGAGGAAGGGACGUUGUUAAAUAGAUAGCAUCAUUGACGUUAAUUACAGAAGAAGCACCGGCUAACUCCGUGCCAGCAGCCGCGGUAAUACGGAGGGUGCGAGCGUUAAUCGGAAUAACUGGGCGUAAAGGGCACGCAGGCGGACUUUUAAGUGAGAUGUGAAAUCCCCGAGCUUAACUUGGGAACUGCAUUUCAGACUGGGAGUCUAGAGUACUUUAGGGAGGGGUAGAAUUCCACGUGUAGCGGUGAAAUGCGUAGAGAUGUGGAGGAAUACCGAAGGCGAAGGCAGCCCCUUGGGAAUGUGCUGACGCUCAUGUG
rnacentral:rRNA from 1 species